rnacentral:misc_RNA from 1 species
AAGUCGUAACAAGGUUUCCGUAGGUGAACCUGCGGAAGGAUCAUUCCAUCCACUGAAAAACAACCCCCCUAAACGUUUGCAUUUGCUGGUCUGUAAAAGAUCAGUACAGUUGUGGUGUCCUUGACCGGUCACUUGACUGAUAUCUAAAAAACAAGUUCUUCGCUAGUCUCAAUUUUGAUUGUAUCCAAAACCUCUUAGCGGUGGAUACCUCGGCUACCAUAACGAUGAAGAACGCAGC